UUUCCGUAGGUGAACCUGCGGAAGGAUCAUUAGUGAAUUGAAUAUGUUAGCGGACCUCUUCGGAGUCCCUAGCAUCAAAUCAUAUCCAUAACACCUGUGAACCGUAGGGCUGUCUUGAAAACGAAAGUGAUUAGAGCGCCUGCCCAUUUUAUACAAACAUUAAAGUAACAAACGUAUUCUUAUUAUAAUCUAAUAAAACUUUCAACAACGGAUCUCUUGGCUCUC
rnacentral:misc_RNA from 1 species